ACCUUCCCGCCAGAACGGUACCUAUUUAUCUACUUGCACGUUGACGUGCUUUUGAACUGCUAGGUUGGCAGGAGCAGGGACCGAGCAAUGGGAGCUCACCCCGUCGCGAGGAUUUGAAUCGCCGGCCUUUUGAUCAGCACGUCAAAGUGCAAGUAGAUGAAUAGGUACCACUCUUGCGGGAAGGUAAAC